GGCUAGAGUAAAGGAUAGCUCAGAUGGCAAAGCGUGAAACCCUUAACCUCAGAGUCGUGGGUUCGAGUCUCACUUUGGGCA